rnacentral:lncRNA from 1 species
CCUCUGUACUAGGUGCUUGGCAGGCAUCCGCUCACACCUUCUGCUCUGUUAUUUAAGCUUGACCUUUAACAGCCAGUGAUCUGCCUUAUCCCCCAAAUGAAUCAUGUGCAGAUAGAGUCCAAGGACAGGUACAUCUCAAUAUGCAUCCCUAUAUAUCUCAACAUGCAUCCCUAUACAUCUCAACAUGUACUCCUAUACAUCUCAACAUGUACUCCUAUACAUCUCAGCAUGCAUCCCUAUACAUCUCAACAUGCACCCCUAUACAUCUCAACAUGUACCCCCAUACAUCUCAACAUGCAUCCCCUAUACAUCUCAACAUGCAUCCCUAUACAUCUCAACAUGCAUCCCCUAUACAUCUCAACAUGCAUCCCUA